GGCCACGCGUGGUUCGGGUGGUCCCGGACACCGGACUUCAAAUCCGGUCGGCUCGAAAAGGGCCGGGGGUUCGAUUCCCCCGCGAGGCCGCCA
rnacentral:tRNA from 1 species